CCAGUAGUGUAUGCUUCUCCUAAAGACUAAGCCAUGCAUGCCUUCGAAUUAGAAGAAGCAAUUCUCUGAAUCUGCGAACGGCUCCGCAUACCAGUUGUAAACCAUAGCGAGCAAACCCAGGGGAGGCAUCUCUUUACGGGGUGACUACCCUGGGUUGCACAUGGAUAUCCAUGGUAAUCCUGAGGCUAAUACAAGGACAUAGGACCUGGUCGACCGGGCAACUGGAAGACUGGGGGUUGUGUGAAGCCUAACCGCGACACAUGAUCAGGAAUUAAUGCACAAUCAGACCACCAUACCAAACAGGUGAUCCUUUGGCCCACGCCCCCUUGGGGGUAGGGUCCGGGGUGAUCUUGGGUGGCUCUCGCUUCGUGCUUCUGACCUAUCAACUAGAUGGCAGCGUAAAGGACAUGCCAUGGUAACAACGGGUACAGAGGAUAAGGGUUCGAUCCUGGAGAGUGGGCCUGAGAGAUUGCUCACACUUCUAAGGAAGGCAGCAGGCGCGCAACGUUCCCAAUGGGUAAAACCUGAGGGCGUUAGGGGAAAUAUGAAUGCCUACCUUAUGGUGGGUAAUUCACAUGGGACUGUUUUAAACAUCCUA
rnacentral:rRNA from 1 species